UUAUCUUUUUGUCUCAGAUAGCUUUCUCAUUUGCACCUUCAAAGGACACUUCUUCUUUUACUACACACUAGUCGAGUGGCGGCGGUCUGAAACAGUAGCAUUAGCCCUGCUUUGCUGUCAAAAGAUGAAAAACAGACUGUGCAGCUAUCGCUCCUCUGGAGUUGCUAAUAAAUAGCCUCAGAGUGUGGUUGCAGAAGAAUACGUGCAUGGCAAGAAGUCAGAAUAUGAAAAGAAAACGUUUCUGAAGUUUGGAAGUUGCCUAAUCGCACGUCUUCCCAUCUGCUCCGCAUGUGCCGAAGCCCCUCAGCCUGAAGCUCUGAAGGGUAAGGACUCCUCCGCUUUCAUGUCUUCACGGAAAAGGGGCCAUUUCAUCUGCAUAUAGCAGCGACUCUGGAUUUUAGGCAGACAGCAGUUCCUGAGGGAAAGGAGCUAUCUACUCCCAUUUAUUUGUAGAGUGGAAGUCAAAUAUGGUCGCAGAGACGGUUUAAUGUACGUAGAUUUUCUGUACAGAAAAGRCUUGCCCUGCCUGAAAGAAGUGCAGAACAGACUGAGAAGUGGAGCGAAAAGCACUUCUGCUCUUUCAUAUCAGGGAGCUUUUCCUCUGCCCCGGUCCUUCCGCGGUGGUGGGAAGACGCUUUGAUGGGAAGCGGUGAAAGCGCGUGCCUGGCGGAGAGGCAGCGUAAAGACUUUCGCAAUAGGGGACCGCAGUGAAGCCGAGCCAGCUCCAGCGAGAUCUCCCCAGCCCAACCGCUGAAUGAGAUUCACGUCAUUAGAGCUGGAUUAAGGUGCCUCCGGAGAGGACUAGGCUGUGCAAAUGCACUGGAAGACAGGCGGCCUGAUUGCACCUAGACUGAUAUUAUCUCUUUCCCCGGCACCCAACCGUGACCGUGGCUUAGCAGAGGAAGGAGSAGAGCGGGGAAGCAGUACCCGAGAGAUAAUCUCGGGGUGGCGACAAAGACAGAAGGCAGCCAGGCCUCAUUUUGCAGAGGAAAUUCAUCCUCUUGUGCUGCAGGUUACGACACCUGCGUCGUGGGCUGAACCACGAGAAGUUCCCGCGCGACGUUCAGCCGAAUUUGUCUGAGUUUUCAUUGCAAAUGAACACGGGCUCGUGGCCAGACUGUGC
rnacentral:lncRNA from 1 species